AGUUAAAAAAUGUUGGUACAAAUUGCACGUUGUAUAUAUUUUGGGUCGAUUUUGAUACAAAUUGACUACACCCGUUCAAUCACAUCCUGGUUGUUUUGUUCAAGGACAGCAUAGAUAAUCUAUAGCAGGCAGACACUGUUUUGACUGUUUAGGCAAUGCAUCUAUUAUCAAGAUACAAUAUUAUUAUGUAAGCCAUGAUUCAGAACCGGUAUG